GGGGAUAUAGCUCAGUGGCACCGUGUCUGCCUCACAAGCACAAGGUACUGAGUUCGAUCCCUGGUAUCCCCC
rnacentral:tRNA from 1 species